ACUUCGCAAUGGGGGCAAUCCCGACGAGGGAAUUCCAAGUGCCAGCACUUUGUGUUGGCUGUUCUCCUGUCUAAAAAACAGGAGGAGUAAGGGGCGGGUAAGACGGGUGCCAGCCGCCGCGGUAAUACCCGCGCCCCUAGUGGUGGUCGAUAUUAUUGAGCCUAAAACGUCCGUAGCCGGUCUUUUAAAUCCUUGGGUAAAUCGGGCAGCUUAACUGUCCGAAGUCCGGGGAGACUGGGAGACUUGGGACCGGGAGAGGUCAGAGGUACUUCUGGGGUAGGGGUAAAAUCCUGUAAUCCUGGAAGGACCACCGGUGGCGAAGGCGUCUGACUAGAACGGAUCCGACGGUGAGGGACGAAGCCCUGGGGCGCAAACGGG
rnacentral:rRNA from 1 species